ensembl:lncRNA
GUUGGCUAGAUGCAAGAUGCAUGGCUUGUUUGCUCACACGUAGCCCUGGAGGAAUGUGCCUAGACAUAGGGCGUUGGCACAGGUGAGCUUCUCUUCUUACAGAUCUCUGGCUGGACUGUUUUUCAGGAUAGACAUACCACAAGAUGGGCACAUACCUGAAUGGACUGAACAAUGGAUCUUUUUUUGGUGGGCGCCUCACAACAAUUACCUGGACUUUGUGGACUGAGGAAGCAACUGUAUAUACGGAUGGGAGACAAGCUGGGUGCUCAUCAGGAGGAAACAGCCUCGUGCUGCCAUCACUGGAAGGAGCAUAGAUCACUCUCCCCAGCCUGGAGCAGCUGAGAUGCAGCCAUGUGCUGCCCGCUGACAUCUCAGUGACAGCAGAUGAGUCUCCAAGAGAGGGGCAGCAAGGUUGGAAAGCUUUCAGUGGCUUCCAGAUGGGGCCCUUUCCCACCUGUACACCCUAGGACGCUGAAAACUACUGCAAGCCAGGAGGCCUCACACAGGAACUCAACAACCCUAGCAAGAAUAUAAUUGCCUUCAGAGCUAGCAGUACCGGCAUGAGAGACUGCCUUCAGUAGGAACAGACUUUCCACCAUCUCACGCCUCACCCAGGUGCAUGACUUCGUUUGCAAAGGCCCAAGGGAGUGAAACAGCUCUGUAAGGCCUUAGGAGAAGGGAAAUUGCUAUCAGACUCCUGUUGAUUCCACAGCCCACCAAGGACGCUGCUGGCUUCUACAGGCCAUCCCCCAUCUGUUGGAAUAGCGGGAAGUUUUGCUUUAGCAAUAAAAAAUAAAAAAUGCUGGAGUCCAACUGGUGACUGAAGUCUGGUGCCAGGCUCUGCUGCAGAGACAUCACAGCUGCCUACAGUGCCUGCUCUGAAAGAGGUGCUCAUUAAACAUUUGCCUUGGGUUUAUUUUCCCUGUUUGCUGUACCCAAGCAUUCACAACAAAAAUUCCAUAAGGGAGAGCUGCA